AUCACUUAUCACUAUCGCACGAUACACGGCAGAUAAGGGAACGGCGAGAGCCGUAGAGGAACUCCUAGGGUCUAAAAGGGCGGAGGAACCGCCUCUUUGUUGCCAGGGCCCGAAGUAUUGGCGGGCGCGGGGGCCACGAAAAGGAAGACGCGCCGUAUCUGACUCUAGACCUGGGAAUCUAGGUUAACCAUACGCUCUGAGGACUUGUUGUCUAGAUCGGGAAGGUGCCCGCCUCCGGCGCAGCGUGAAUCUGUCUCCCAGGGACCCCACGCGAGGCGCUCACAGAACGCUCUACAUCAGGACGAAGUGUGUACCACACGGAUCGAUACCCGCAGUCUCCCGUACACCAUUGGUUAGCCGAGUAGUGCCACGAGCUCGGAGUCCGCAGGAACGGUGAGCUGCUACUGGAGUCAGUCGAAGCGGACUAACGAAUGUCGGCGACGCGAUCCUUACUGAGAUAUCCUUAUGAGCAUUUGCUGCUAGUUGCCUAGCGUUCGAUUUAGUUCGGCCGAGACCGGCCACGGAACGGAUGCAGCUUCGGCCGUGACCAGUCAAGAGCUCAAGGCGUAAAUCGAUC
rnacentral:rRNA from 1 species